UGUUUAUUAAUGACGGCUACAGAUUAAACCUUUAGCCUCUGGAGCCAGAUGCAUUCAAACA
rfam:O.niloticus mRNA for type I iodothyronine deiodinase